AGUGAACGCUGGCGGUAGGCCUAACACAUGCAAGUCGAACGGCAGCACAGUAAGAGCUUGCUCUUACGGGUGGCGAGUGGCGGACGGGUGAGGAAUACAUCGGAAUCUACUUUUUCGUGGGGGAUAACGUAGGGAAACUUACGCUAAUACCGCAUACGACCUACGGGUGAAAGCAGGGGAUCUUCGGACCUUGCGCGAUUGAAUGAGCCGAUGUCGGAUUAGCUAGUUGGCGGGGUAAAGGCCCACCAAGGCGACGAUCCGUAGCUGGUCUGAGAGGAUGAUCAGCCACACUGGAACUGAGACACGGUCCAGACUCCUACGGGAGGCAGCAGUGGGGAAUAAUGGACAAUGGGCGAAAGCCUGAUCCAGCCAUACCGCGUGGGUGAAGAAGGCCUUCGGGUUGUAAAGCCCUUUUGUUGGGAAAGAAAAGCAGCAGGUUAAUACCCCGCUGUUCUGACGGUACCCAAAGAAUAAGCACCGGCUAACCUCGUG
rnacentral:rRNA from 1 species